GGAAGCUGCCGCUGGCCGGCCGUCGGUGGGGCCGGUUUACCGGAGCAUUUUUGCUAAAGAUGGAUUUCCGCCGCCGGUUCAAGGCUUGGAAACCUGCUGGGAUAUAUUUCGAAUGUCUGUGGAGAAAAAUCCCGGAAACCGGAUGCUUGGGCGUCGGAAAAUAGUUGAAGGAAAUCCAGCUAAAGCUGGUGAAUACGAGUGG
rnacentral:misc_RNA from 1 species